GUCAAGCGUGCGGCGGCGGCCGUGGAAGGUGGGGUUGGCCGCCUAGGGUCGGCGGUGGGCUCGGUGUGGGAUAGCCGGCCCGGUCCGACGCGCUCCGCGAGGUCACGCGAGACACUCACCGAGGCAUGGCGGCAGGGCCUGGGCAUGGGAAUCGUGCGCACAGUGCGAGGAAGCCUCGGAGGGGAUACGAGCACAGGGCGGGUGGUUAGGAGAAUGGGGCUGGAGAGACGGGCGGGAGGGGCGGGACCUGGGCCCCGGGGACCUGCCGGCUCCCAGGCCCCAGGAAGACGCUGCUCAUGCGUGGAGCGGCCGCAGGAAAGGUACUCCCCGCUAAGGCCUUCAGGGAGCGGCCCUUUGCCCUGUGCGAUCUCUUCCUUCCUUUCCCACGGGUUGCCAAAUCCUGUGACGCUGCCCCUUCUCUGGUGCUUCUCAGAUGCUCUGGUCGGCUCAGGAGACCUCGCAGCUGUUACACAGCUGUGGAAAUACCCUGGGCGCUGCUUCACUCCGAAGGCAGCAGCUGGGUUUGCCUCCCGACUCGACCCGCCACCGAGGCUCCUGAGCACUUGAAAUAUGGCCAGUCCACCUGAGACGGGCUGUGAGUGCGCAAUGCACAUCAAACUUCUAAGACUGAGUGUGCGGGGCCGAGUGCGGUGGCUCACGCCUGUAAUCCCAGCACUUUGGAAGGCCGAGGCGGGCGGAUCACGAGGUCAGGAGUUCGAGACCAGCCUGAUCAACAUGGUGAAACCCCCUCACCUCCCGUCUCUACUAAAAAUACAAAAAUUAACAGGGCCUGGUGGCGCGCGCCUGUAAUCCCAGCUACUCGGGAGGCUGAGGCAAGAGAAUCGCUUGAACCCAGGAGGCAGAGGUUGCAGUGAGCCGAGAUCGCGCCAUUGCACUCCAGCCUGGGCAACAGAGCGAGACUCCAUCUCAAAAAAAAAAAAAAAAAAGUGUGCGUGUAGGGGCUGGAGGACAGAAGGUACAGUAUUUCGUUAAUAACUUUACAUUGACUACUACAUGUUGAAAUAUUCUGUAUGCAUAUGUUGGAUUACAUAAUAAUAUUGAGGCCAGGUGCUGUGUGGCUCACUCCUGUAAUCCCACCACUUUUGGAGACCGAGGCAGGAGGAUCCCUUCAGCCCAGGAGUUCGAGACCAGCCUGGGCAACAUAGUGAGACUCCCGUCUCUACAAAAAAUAAAUUAAAAAAAUUAGCCAGGCACGGUGGUGUGCACCUGUGGUCCCAGCUACUUGGGAGGUGGAGGUGGGAGAAUCAUUUGAGCCCAGGAGGCUGAGGCUGCGGUGAGCCAUGAUCCCACCACUGCACUCCAGCCUGGGCGACAGAUCGACACCCUAUCUCAAAAAAUAGUAAAAAAAUGUCCUUUUUUUAAAAUUUUUAUUUUUUAUUUUUUUGAGACAGAAUCUCACUUUGUCAUCCAAGCUGGAGUGCAGUGGGCGAUCUCGGCUCACUCCACCUCCCGGAUUCAAGCGAUUCUCCUGCCUCAGCCUCCCGAGUAGCUGGGAUUACAGGCAUGCACCACCAUGCCCAGCUAAUUUUUGUAUUUUUAGUAGAGACAGGGUUUUACCAUGUUGGCCAGGCUGGUCUCGAACUCCUGACGUCAGGUGAUCCACCCGCCUUGGCCUCCCAAAGCGUUGGGAUUAUAGGCGUGAGCCACCGCACCAGGCCUCCUCUUCUAUCUUUUAACGUGGCUUUUAGAAACUUUUAAAAUUACAUAGAUGGUCUGCAUUUUGUUAGUGUUGGACACUGGCAGCCCUCCGUCUCCCUCACUGCCUGGAAUCUGCUGCUCUCCUUUUCCCCAGGUGCCUGCCCUCUCCAUUCCUCCUCACUUUCCUCCGCUGGGAAUCGGCACCGCCACUGAUUUUAAAGUUGAAACUUGGCAGGCAAAAGGGAGGUACUCCCAUGUUAAAUGUAUACACAUUGACUGCAAUAGUAUCCUGACUUUUGAAAUGGUAAAACGUAGAGUAAGUUGCUUUUGUACUUUGAGAGUUUCUGUUUGUUGAUCAGUUGUUCCUGAGAACAUGCUUCUCCUUCCGACAGGGAACUCCCUCCACUAGAAUAUGAGCUCCUUGUGGUCAAGACUGGGUCCCCUGUUCCCUUCCCCCCAGUGCCAGCGGAGCAAAGGUCAGUCAGCGGCAUAAGUUGUACCUGCUGGGAGAACUGUCUGCUUCCUCCGGGUGACUUUUCUGGCCAAGAAGGAAUAUGAGUAUGUGCCUCCCUGAGCACUGGCCUGGAGCCCACUCAGGAAACACCAUCUCUUCAUAAAUGGUUUUGAUUGCAGGCAUUGUUCCUUCUGCUCUCUGGAUGAUGGAAAUUGCUUCAGGUCACUGCACUAUCUUCCAACGUUUUUGUGGUUGCCAUGAGCUGUUGUACAGACCACAGUUUGGGGCCUGAGACAAGCUGGGCAUGGUGUUGCAUGCCUAUAAUCUCAGCUACUUUGGAGGGUGAGGCAGGAGAAUAGCUUGGGCCCAGGAGGUCUAGGCUGCAGUGAGCCAUGAUCAUACCACUGCACUUCUGUCUGCGUGACAGAGACCCUGUAUCUUACAUAAAACCCCAGCCCAUAUUUGUACCACAUCUAGAUACGAGGUCAGAGUUCAGAUGCCUAAAUAUUGUAGCUUGUGUUUUGUCCACUGUUGGGGGAAGAGUGAAGAGAUUUGACAUACCAUAAUGUUGAUUAGCUUGUGAUGGUUUGGCGGCAGCUUAGGCCAGAGCAUAAAGUAAAAAGGAAAAGUGUUCACAGACAAUGAAAACUGGGACCAAGUGGUGAAUACUCAAGGCACACAGACCAGGCAAGGAUCCCAGUGGCCGUGGAUGAGUCUCAGGCUGGCUCUGGGCCAGUGGAACACACCUCAGUGUGGGUGAAGGCCUAGCCAGGGUAGCAGAGGGCAGGGCUACAGAACAGCAGCCCAGGUGGCUGUGGCCGACCUGACAUUCUCCUGUGAAAAUCAGGUGCCCAACCAGCACUAAUCUAGAUAGAUGGCAGCAUUUUUUUUCUUUAAAGACAGGAUCUUGCUAUGUUGCUCAGGCUGGUCUUGAACUCCUGACCUCAAAGGAUCCUCCCCUCUUCAGCUUCCCAAAGCACUGGGGUUACAGAUGUGAGCCAGCACGCCCAGCCGAAUCACAGUAUCUUAGACAGAUGCCAUGGCUGCCCAUAGGGUCCUCUCAAGGUGCCUCUGCCCUUGGACUGGCUUCCUACACCAACCUGACAGGUGCAGCAAAGGUGGACUUUCUGGUAAGGCUGGAGGAGGAAGCCUGGUCUGCGAUGGCCUGAGACGCCCUCUAUGGGGGUUGUUGAGUGGAUGGAAAUGUGCAGGGCAUGGGUCCUGCCCCCAAGAAUGCAGGCUGGUUCCGCUGGGCACCUGCAGAGGGCUGAUGUCCUUUUCCUGAGGCCUGCUCCUGUGCCUUCUAACCCUAGGGUGAGAAGAUGGGCUGUGUUCACCUCAUGCCCAGGCCCUUCGAGGAGUGUGCCCUUGGGGGUCAGAGCCCUCCUGUGGCUGGUAUUUCUUUGGAUCAUCACAGGUGCUCCAGACAUCCUUUAGGGAGUCUCAGGCUUGGUGAAGGGAUCCAUUAAAUGUUGCUUAGUUGGUUUUUGUUUGUUUUUUGUUUUUUCGAGACAGAGUCUCCCUCUGUUGCCCAGGCUGGAGUGUGGUGGCGUGAUCUUGGCUCACUGCAACCUCCACCUCCCAGGUUCAAGCGAUUCUCCUGCAACCUCUGCCUCCCAGGUUCAAGCGAUUCUCCUGCCUUGGCCUCCUGAGUAGCUGGGAUUAUAAGCGUGUACCACCAACCCUGGAUGAUUUUUGUAUUUUUAGUAGAGGCAGGGUUUCACCAUGUUUGUCAGGCUGGUCUCGAACUCCUGACCUCGUGAUCCUCCUGCCUCGGCCUCCCAAAGUGCUGGGAUUACAGGCGUGAGCCAUCAUGCCCAGCCAACUGGUUUGUGAUUAAAUGUUUUGAUUGAUGCAGUUUUUGAAAUGUACUGUGUGUACAAUAUUACUCUUUUGAGACAGGGUCUCACUCUGUCACCUAGGCUGGAGCACAGUGGUGCAGUCAUGGCCCACUGCAGCCUCUGCCUUGUAGCCUCAAGUGAUCCUCCUGCUUCAGCCUCCUGAGUAGCUGGGACUACAGUUGUGCACCACCAUGCCCACCUAAUUUUUAUUUUUUUAAAGAUGGGGUCUCCUGUGUUGCCCAGGCUGGUUUUGAACUGCUGAGCUCAAGUGAUCUGCUUCUGGCCAGCUACUACUCUUAAAAGUAGAGUUCUCAGAGCAAAACAGCUCCCUUUCAACCUUCAGUCCGGUCGAAGGUGUGGUGGGGGUAACAACAGCAGGCUCAUGGAUACCUGGGCAGUGCUCCGAGGUCCCUCCUGUGUUCCCACUGAGCAGCAGCCUGCUGUGCCCGGAGUGGAGGUGAGAAAUCCAGCAGCAGCGCGGUGGUGAGUGUGGGCCCUGCGGAGUGUGGCAGGCGCUCAUUAUGGUGCAGGGCAGUGUUGGGCACAGAGAAGGUUCUCAGAAACCACAGUAACCCAUGGUUAGUUGGUCACAUCCCAGACCCUGACCUAGCACUGGCUGGCACUGUGACUUGUCACUCUCCUGAAUGGAAGAAGUGUCCACCUGGGGGUGGCUGAGGAGGUGGAUGCUAGGGGACUGCUGGGAGCCACGGACCUGUGGAGGUUGGGAGAGGAGACUGCAGGCGCAGGCUGCUGGAGGCGAGGAGGCCUCUCUGGAGCGCCAGGCCAUACAAACAGGUCCCAGGUGGGGCCACGAGGAUCAGGUUAGACUUGGGACCCGAGAGACACGUCAUGCCCACUGUGCAGGUGCCACCUCAUGUUAUCCUGCACCAGGGGAGGGGCCAGCCCAAAGUCCUGGCUGCUGGCAGCAUGCCCGUACAGCUUGGCACCUGGGUCUGAGUUCACAUGUCUAGCAAAGCUGGGAAAAUCCAGGAGCAAGAAGGUGAAGCCCUUUGGCUCAGCCCAAGCUCAGAAGGCCCUUGCCCGAUGAGCCGAACUGCUGACAACACCCUGGCACUGGGCUUGGGGACUCCCCUGGAGCAUGUAAGAAGUGAACUGGGAGCGUGGGAGAAACUGUCUGGCAGGGGCUGCUGCCUCGGAGCUCAUCCUCCCUGGCUGUGCUGGUGUCUGUCCAGUGGGAUUAGCCUCCAUCCUGUGGUUUCACCACCCCACCGCCUCUCUCCCCCACAGCACAGGCAGAAGCAGCAACGCAACACGAGACCACCUCGCUUGGGGCUAGUAGCAGUUCUGGGAAAGGCUCGGUAGGGUCUUUGCUCCCUGCGGAAUCAAGGGCUGGGGGCUGACCCAGGCUUUCUCUAUAGCUGCUUCCAGAUCUGGGUCUGGACCAGCUUCUGCAGGAAGGCACCAUUCUGUUGGGGUGUCUGACACGGUCAGCUCUAGGCUCAGCCUCUGCGGCCCCCACAAAGGCCUAGCAAGGAUGGGGCAAGGUGGCAGUGGUGCCCGCACGCACUGCCCUGGCACAGGUGUGUAGUUAGUGACCUGAAGCAUGAGGGCAUCUCCCUGCCCACCCCAGCUGGAGAUAAGCCCCUUGCGGGGCCCACCCUGCUGAUAAACCCCAGAGCAGUAUGGCCUGUGUCAGAAUGACCAGUAGGAGGGCCCCGGGGUAGCAGCUGCCCAGCCCAGCUGCGUGUGUGUGUGAAGUAUUUUCCUCAACACCUUAUACCACAGAAGGCAGAUUUUGAAACUCGCAUCAGGCCAGAAAAAGAAUUUCUGAAUGGACACUUCUAAGGGGUGCCUGGUUACUCAUCUGCCUCUUCCCCCUGCAGGGUAGAGGGGCAUGGGUUUGAAGUUCCCGGGGGCUCUUGGAGACUGCAGACACGGACGAGCUGGGGUUCCUGGAUGCUGCAGCAGUUGGGGCCCCUGGCUGAGCGCACCUGCCCCAGGAGGCCCUGCGUGGUUCCCCCAGUAGCCCCUUCACACCACACCGCAGUGAGGAUGCCCUGUCUCCUGCCGAUCCCAUCACACCAAGCCUUUUCGCUGUUGGGCUCCUGGCACUGCCCGAUCCUGGAGGGCACUUGGCUGCGGCUGUGGCUGUGAAGGGCUGGUGCUCUAGGCGCCUCCGUGGCCCCCGUUGCCUGGGCACCUACUUCCUGCCUCAGCCACAGCUGCAUCCACGUGCGCCAGGGGCCACAAGGCCGACCCUGGCUUGGGCCUGUUCCUCCCUGGGUUUCCUUGGGAUCCAGUCAUUGGAGGGCCCGCGCACAGCUGGGCCAACUCGACACCUCCAAGCCCGGCCAGGGAAUCAAGCAGCUCUCCCUCUGGCAGCAUGAGCUACACAAGCCAGGCCCGUCUUCCCAUUCCCUUAGCAAGGAGGGGCAACCCCAGCCAAGGCCUUCUGCACUGUUCUAG
rnacentral:lncRNA from 1 species